AUUGAACGCUGGCGGAAUGCUUUACACAUGCAAGUCGAACGGUAGAGGGGGCAGCCCCUCGAGAGUGGCGAACGGGUGAGUAAUAUAUCGGAACGUGCCCAGUCGUGGGGGAUAACGUAGCGAAAGUUACGCUAAUACCGCAUACGAUCUAAGGAUGAAAGCGGGGGAUCGCAAGACCUCGCGCGAUUGGAGCGGCCGAUAUCAGAUUAGGUAGUUGGUGGGGUAAAGGCUCAACAAGCCAACGAUCUGUAGCUGGUCUGAGAGGACGACCAGCCACACUGGAACUGAGACACGGUCCAGACUCCUACGGGAGGCAGCAGUGGGGAAUUUUGGACAAUGGACGCAAGUCUGAUCCAGCCAUUCCGCGUGCAGGAUGAAGGCCCUCGGGUUGUAAACUGCUUUUGUACGGAACGAAAAGGUCUCUCUUAAUACGGGGGACUCAUGACGGUACCGUAAGAAUAAGCACCGGCUAACUACGUGCCAGCAGCCGCGGUAA
rnacentral:rRNA from 1 species